GGAGUCUGGGCCGUGUCUCAGUCCCAAUGUGGCCGAUCACCCUCUCAGGUCGGCUACUGAUCGUUGACUUGGUGGGCCGUUACCUCACCAACUAUCUAAUCAGACGCGAACUCACCCUAUACUGGAUUGCUCCUUUCACCUCAGUGCCAUGCGGCACCGUGGUCCUACGCGGUAUUAGCACAUCUUUCGAUGCGUUAUCCCCCUGUAUAGGACAGAUUAUUCACGCGUUACUCACCCGUCCGCCACUCGAAUAAAUCAAAAGCAAGCUUCCAAUCUAUUCUCGUUCGACUUGCAUGUGUUAAGCACGCCGCCAGCGUUCGUC
rnacentral:rRNA from 1 species